rnacentral:rRNA from 1 species
GACGAACGCUGGCGGCGUGCUUAACACAUGCAAGUCGAACGGAAAGGCCCCCAUCUUGGUGGGGGUGCUCGAGUGGCGAACGGGUGAGUAACACGUGGGUGAUCUGCCCUGUACUUCGGGAUAAGCUUGGGAAACUGGGUCUAAUACCGGAUAGGACCAUGGUUUAGUGUCUCAUGGUGGAAAGAUUAUUGUUUUGGUGCAGGAUGAGCUCGCGGCCUAUCAGCUUGUUGGUGGGGUAAUGGCCUACCAAGGCGUCGACGGGUAGCCGGACUGAGAGGGUGGACGGCCACAGUGGGACUGAGAUACGGCCCAGACUCCUACGGGAGGCAGCAGUGGGGAAUAUUGCACAAUGGGCGCAAGCCUGAUGCAGCGACGCCGCGUGGGGGAUGACGGCCUUCGGGUGGUAAACUCCUUUCGUUAGGGACGAAGCCGCACUUUUUUUGGGUGUGGUGACGGUACCUUUGUUAAGAAGCACCGGCUAACUACGUG